rnacentral:rRNA from 1 species
UACGUAGGGGGCUAGCGUUGUCCGGAAUCAUUGGGCGUAAAGCGCGUGUAGGCGGUCCGGUAAGUCGCUGUGAAAGUCGGGGGCUCAACCCUCGAAUGCCGGUGGAUACUGUCGGGCUAGAGUGCGGAAGAGGCGAGUGGAAUUCCUGGUGUAGCGGUGAAAUGCGCAGAUAUCAGGAGGAACACCAAUUGCGAAGGCAGCUCGCUGGGACGUAACUGACGCUGGAGACGCGAAAGCGUGGGGAGCAAACAGG